UACGAAGGGGGCUAGCGUUGCUCGGAAUCACUGGGCGUAAAGGGUGCGUAGGCGGGUCUUUAAGUCAGGGUGAAAUCCUGGAGCUCAACUCCAGAACUGCCUUUGAUACUGAGGAUCUUGAGUUCGGGAGAGGUGAGUGGAACUGCGAGUGUAGAGGUGAAAUUCGUAGAUAUUCGCAAGAACACCAGUGGCGAAGGCGGCUCACUGGCCCGAUACUGACGCUGAGGCACGAAAGCGUGGGGAGCAAACACGG
rnacentral:rRNA from 1 species